GGCGCCAUUUUGUGAGCGUCAGGGGUCUCAUGUCCCUCACAGUAUGGAAGCCGCGGCCUCAUUCCACUCCCGCCCGCAGAUUUCUUCUCUGAUUUCAAAGGACAGCAUGACCACCAAACUCCUGAACUGGAAAUUCCCAUGGUCAGUGGAGGAAAAAUCUAGCAACUGAUGCAUGAGGACCCACAGCCUGGCAAGUUCUCUUUGUAUCCUAUCAUGUGAAUAGAAGCCAAGGAAGGUAGGUUUAUUUAAAUUUUAUGGGACUGAUUUAAAUUGUUAGAUAAGGUACCUGGAGGCC
rnacentral:lncRNA from 1 species